rnacentral:misc_RNA from 1 species
GAAAUGCGAUAAGUAAUGUGAAUUGCAGAAUUCAGUGAAUCAUCGAAUCUUUGAACGCACAUUGCGCCCCCUGGCAUUCCGGGGGGCAUGCCUGUUCGAGCGUCAUUACACCACUCAAGCCUGGCUUGGUAUUGAGCGCCGCGGCCUGCCCGCGCGCUCCAAUGUCUCCGGCUGAGCCGUCCGUCUCUAAGCAUUGUGAAUAGCGAUCGCUUGCGAGGCCCGGGCGGUUCGACGCCGUUAAACCCCCCAUUUUCUAUGGUUGACCUCGGAUCAGGUAGGGAUACCCGCUGAACUUAAGC